AGCGAACGUUAGCGGCAGGCCUAACACAUGCAAGUCGCACGAGAAUCCGGCUUCGGCCGGUAGUGAAGUGGCGGACGGGUGAGUAACACGUGGAUAAUCUGCCCUUCGGCGGGGGACAACAGUCCGAAAGGAUUGCUAAUACCGCGUAAGUCGGCGAGGUCUUCGGAUCUUGUCGGGAAAGAUGGCCUCUUCAUGAAAGCUAUCGCUGAAGGAUGAGUCCGCGUCCCACAGCUAGUUGGCGGGGUAAUGGCCCACCAAGGCUUAGACGGGUAGCUGGUCUGAGAGGAUGAUCAGCCACACUGGAACUGAGACACGGUCCAGACUCCUACGGGAGGCAGCAGUGGGGAAUAUUGGGCAAUGGACGCAAGCCUGACCCAGCCAUGCCGCGUGAGUGAUGAA
rnacentral:rRNA from 1 species